rnacentral:rRNA from 1 species
AGCGAACGCUGGCGGCAGGCCUAACACAUGCAAGUCGAACGAGCCUUUCGGGGUUAGUGGCGGACGGGUGAGUAACACGUGGGAACGUGCCUUUAGGUUCGGAAUAACUCAGGGAAACUUGUGCUAAUACCGAAUGUGCCCUUCGGGGGAAAGAUUUAUCGCCUUUAGAGCGGCCCGCGUCUGAUUAGCUAGUUGGUUGAGGUAAUGGCUCACCAAGGCGACGAUCAGUAGCUGGUCUGAGAGGAUGAUCAGCCACAUUGGGACUGAGACACGGCCCAAACUCCUACGGGAGGCAGCAGUGGGGAAUCUUGCGCAAUGGGCGAAAGCCUGACGCAGCCAUGCCGCGUGAAUGAUGAAGGUCUUAGGAUUGUAAAAUUCUUUCACCGGGGACGAUAAUGACGGUACCCGGAGAAGAAGCCCCGGCUAACUUCGUG